rnacentral:rRNA from 1 species
AGUCGGGCCUGCCCGGUGAUAAAUUUUAACGGCUGCAAUUAGUGUACUAAGGUAGCGUGAUAGUUUGUUUUUUAAUUGAAAAAUGGUAUGAAUGGUUUGACGUGGAAUAACUGUCCCUUUUUAAUAAAAUGAAGUUUCCUUUUAAGUUAGAAGGCUUAAAUUUUUGUAAAAGACGAGAAGACCCUGCGAGCUUGAUUAGAUAUAAUGGUUUUAUUAUAUUAAAGUUUUAUUGGGGCAAUAUAAGAUAAAAUAAACAUCUUAUAGUAAUAUGAAUCCUUUUUAGAAAGAAAUAAGAAGAAGCUACCGCAGGGAUAACAGCGUUAUUUUUUCUGAGAGAUCUUAUUGAGGAAAAAGUUUGCGACCUCGAUGUUGGAUUAGAGGAACUGUAUGGUGUAGCAGCUGUAGCUGGUAAGACUGUUCGUCUUUUAAAUCUCUACAUGAUCUGAGUUUCAGACCGGAA